GCCGCGUGUGUGANGANGGCCUUCGGGUUGUAAAGCACUUUCAGUCAGGAGGAAAGGUUAGUAGUUAAUACCUGCUAGCUGUGACGUUACUGACAGAAGAAGCACCGGCUAACUCCGUGCCAGCAGCCGCGGUAAUACGGAGGGUGCGAGCGUUAAUCGGAAUUACUGGGCGUAAAGCGUACGCAGGCGGUUUGUUAAGCGAGAUGUGAAAGCCCCGGGCUUAACCUGGGAACUGCAUUUCGAACUGGCAAACUAGAGUGUGAUAGAGGGUGGUAGAAUUUCAGGUGUAGCGGUGAAAUGCGUAGAGAUCUGAAGGAAUACCGAUGGCGAAGGCAGCCACCUGGGUCAACACUGACGCUCAUGUACGAAAGCGUGGGGAGCAAACAGGAUUAGAUACCCUGGUAGUCCACGCCGUAAACGAUGUCUACUAGGAGCUGGGGUCUUCGGACAACUUUUCCAAAGCUAACGCAUUAAGUAGACCGCCUGGGGAGUACGGCCGCAAGGUUAAAACUCAAAUGAAUUGACGGGGGCCCGCACAAGCGGUGGAGCAUGUGGUUUAAUUCGAUGCAACGCGAAGAACCUUACCUACACUUGACAUACAGAGAACUUACCAGAGAUGGUUUGGUGCCUUCGGGARCUCUGAUACAGGUGCUGCAUGGCUGUCGUCAGCUCGUGUUGUGAGAUGUUGGGUUAAGUCCCGCAACGAGCGCAACCC
rnacentral:rRNA from 1 species